rnacentral:rRNA from 1 species
GACGAACGCUGGCGGCGUGCUUAACACAUGCAAGUCGAACGGUAAGGCCCUUCGGGGUACACGAGUGGCGAACGGGUGAGUAACACGUGGGUGAUCUGCCCUGCACUUCGGGAUAAGCCUGGGAAACUGGGUCUAAUACCGGAUAGGACCCUGGGAUGCAUGUCCUGGGGUGGAAAGCUUUUGCGGUGUGGGAUGGGCCCGCGGCCUAUCAGCUUGUUGCUGGGGUGAUGGCCUACCAAGGCGACGACGGGUAGCCGGCGUAAGAGCGUGACCCGCCUCACGGGGACUGAGAUACUGCCCCGACUCCUACGGGAGGCUGCAGUCGAGAAUAUUCCACAAUGGCCGAAAGGCUGAUGGAGCGACGCCGCGUGCAGGAAGAAGCCCUUCGGGGUGUAAACUGCUUUUUUUAGGGACGAACAAAUGACGGUACCUAAAGAAUAAGAGGUUGCUAACUCUGUGCCAGCCGCCGCCGUAA